rnacentral:rRNA from 1 species
GAUGAACGCUGGCGGCGUGCCUAAUACAUGCAAGUCGAGCGAAUGGAUUAAGAGCUUGCUCUUAUGAAGUUAGCGGCGGACGGGUGAGUAACACGUGGGUAACCUGCCCAUAAGACUGGGAUAACUCCGGGAAACCGGGGCUAAUACCGGAUAACAUUUUGAACCGCAUGGUUCGAAAUUGAAAGGCGGCUUCGGCUGUCACUUAUGGAUGGACCCGCGUCGCAUUAGCUAGUGGGUGGGGUAACGGCUCACCAAGGCAACGAUGCGUAGCCGACCUGAGAGGGUGAUCGGCCACACUGGGACUGAGACACGGCCCAGACUCCUACGGGAGGCAGCAGUAGGGAAUCUUCCGCAAUGGACGAAAGUCUGACGGAGCAACGCCGCGUGAGUGAUGAAGGCUUUCGGGUCGUAAAACUCUGUUGUUAGGGAAGAACAAGUGCUAGUUGAAUAAGCUGACACCUUGACGGUACCUAACCAGAAAGCCACGGCUAACUACGUGCCAGCCGCCGCAGUAA